GAUGAACGCUAGCUACAGGCUUAACACAUGCAAGUCGAACGAUGAAGCUGGAGCUUGCUCCGGUGGAUUAGUGGCGAACGGGUGAGUAACACGUGAGCAAUCUGCCCUUGACUCUGGGAUAACUGCGGGAAACUGUAGCUAAUACCGGAUACUUUCACUGGAAGGCAUCUUCUGGUGAAGAAAGAAUUUCGGUCAAGGAUGAGCUCGCGGCCUAUCAGCUUGUUGGUGAGGUAACGGCUCACCAAGGCGACGACGGGUAGCCGGCCUGAGAGGGUGACCGGCCACACUGGGACUGAGACACGGCCCAGACUCCUACGGGAGGCAGCAGUGGGGAAUAUUGCACAAUGGGCGCAAGCCUGAUGCAGCAACGCCGCGUGAGGGAUGAAGGCCUUCGGGUUGUAAACCUCUUUUAGCAGGGAAGAAGCGAAAGUGACGGUACCUGCAGAAAAAGCACCGGCUAACUACGUGCCAGCAGCCGCCGUAA
rnacentral:rRNA from 1 species